GCUUUCUCGAUUACUCUGUUUCAAUCUAGAUUGAGUUUGUAGGAAUCAAAUUUCGAGUUUUCUGUGAUGGGUUUACUUCGUUUUUUUUUUUGUUUCUCAAUUCUCUGCUUUGCCGAUAGAAAAGAUCUCGUCUUUUAAGAAAAAAAAAGAUCGUUUUUGUUUGUGUGAUUUGAAGAUAAUUAAGGAGGAAAAAAGAGAUGUGAUGAUGGAAAUUGUUUUCCCUAUUGGUUUGAUCGCCGAUAUGAUGGCAUCUUACUAUCAUCAAAAGCAUAAAUGUCGAUCCAAUACCAUGGAAACAGCUUUAAGGAGCUAUGUUACAAAUAAAACUUUAAGGAGCUAUGACAUAUAAAACUUUAAGGAGCUAAUGUUUCAAAUAAAAUCAUGAAAUCAAAAUUUGCUUCGGAGCUGAGGACAUUGCUCUUUUCCAAUCGACCAACUUAGAAAUAGCUUCGGGGCUGAGGACAUUGUUGUUUUCUUGAGCAAUUACUGUAAUUUGGAAAAUCUUUACCAUAUAAAUACCAAAGAUCAAGCUUUUAGAAAACCCAA